GACGAACGCUGGCGGCGUGCUUAACACAUGCAAGUCGAACGGGAUUUAGUAGACAGAAGCCUCGGCUAAAGAUUACUAAUGAGAGUGGUGAACGGGUGAGUAACGCGUGAGCAACCUGCCUAUGACAGUGGGAUAGCCUCGGGAAACCGGGAUUAAUACCGCAUAAAAUCGUAGAAACACAUGUUUUAACGGUCAAAGAUUUAUCGGUCAUAGAUGGGCUCGCGUCUGAUUAGCUAGUUGGUGAGAUAACAGCCCACCAAGGCGACGAUCAGUAGCCGGUCUGAGAGGAUGAACGGCCACAUUGGAACUGAGACACGGUCCAAACUCCUACGGGAGGCAGCAGUGGGGAAUAUUGCACAAUGGGGGAAACCCUGAUGCAGCGACGCCGCGUGAACGAAGAAGGUAUUCGUAUCGUAAAGUUCUGUCCUAUGGGAAGAUAAUGACAGUACCAUAGAAGAAAGCUCCGGCUAAAUACGUG
rnacentral:rRNA from 1 species